UACGUAGGGUGCAAGCGUUGUCCGGAAUUAUUGGGCGUAAAGAGCUCGUAGGCGGUUUGUCGCGUCUGCUGUGAAAAUCCAGGGCUUAACCCUGGACCUGCAGUGGGUACGGGCAGACUAGAGUGCGGUAGGGGAGAUCGGAAUUCCUGGUGGUAGCGGUGAAAUGCGCAGAUAUCAGGAGGAACACCGGUGGCGAAGGCGGAUCUCUGGGCCGUAACUGACGCUGGAGGAGCGAAAGCUGGUGAGCGAACAGG
rnacentral:rRNA from 1 species